GAGGUUGUAGCUCAGUGGUAGCAUGUGUGCUUAGCAUGCACAAGAUCCUGGGUUCAAUCCCCAGUACCUCC
rfam:Camelus ferus unplaced genomic scaffold scaffold1073, whole genome shotgun sequence.